GGACUUCACUUGCACGCGCACCUCGCUCCGCUUCCUCUGCAACCAUGUCUGGCAAACCCAAUAUGGCUGAGAUUGAGAAAUUCGAUAAGUCGAAAUUGAAGAAGACAGAAACACAAGAGAAAAAUCCACUGCCUUCAAAAGAAACGAUUGAACAGGAGAAGCAAGCAGGCGAAUCCUAAUGAGGCGCGCGCCGCCAAUAUGCUCUGUACAUUCCACAAGCAUUGCCUUCUUAUUUUACUUCUUUUAGCUGUUUAACUUUGUAAGAUGCAAAGAGGUUGGAUCAAGUUUAAAUGACUGUGCUGCUCCUUUUCACAUCAAAGAAUCUGAACUACUGACCAGGAACGCCAAGCCUCCUUUCCAUCUGCCUGUCUGGCUGGCAGGGAAGGAAAAUAACUUGUAUGCUGGUGAAGGAAGAAGCUGGGUGGGACGACCAGUAAAAACUAAGUUGGUCCAAGGUAUCUGGCAGGCUGUACGAUGCAGUUUAAUCAGAGUGCCACUUUUUUCUUUGUAUGAUUUUAAUUACUGGAAUGCACAAUUUUUUAAUAUACAAAUAAAAAGUUUAAAAUGUGAA